CCUACGGGAGGCUGCAGUGAGGAAUAUUGGUCAAUGGGCGGAAGCCUGAACCAGCCAAGUAGCGUGCAGGAUGACGGCCCUACGGGUUGUAAACUGCUUUUAUACGGGAAUAACGCGCCUUACGUGUAGGGCUUUGCAUGUACCGUAUGAAUAAGGACCGGCUAAUUCCGUGCCAUCAGCCGCGGUAAUACGGAAGGUCCGGGCGUUAUCCGGAUUUAUUGGGUUUAAAGGGAGCGUAGGCCGCAUGUCAAGCGUGCUGUGAAAUGUUCGGGCUCAACCCGGGCCUUGCAGCGAGAACUGGCGGGCUUGAGUCCGCGGAGGGCAGGCGGAAUUCGUGGUGUAGCGGUGAAAUGCUUAGAUAUGACGAAGAACCCCGAUUGCGAAGGCAGCUGGCUGCAGCUGAACUGACGCUGAUGCUCGAAAGCGCGGGUAUCGAACAGGAUUAGAUACCCGAGUAGUC
rnacentral:rRNA from 1 species